UGGGGAAUAUUGCGCAAUGGGGGAAACCCUGACGCAGCAACGCCGCGUGAAGGAAGAAGGUUCUCGGAUUGUAAACUUCUUUUACUCGGGACGAAAAAAAUGACGGUACCGGGUGAAUAGGCCACGGCUAACUACGUGCCAGCAGCCGCGGUAAUACGUAGGUGGCAAGCGUUGUCCGGAUUUACUGGGUGUAAAGGGCGAGUAGGCGGGACUGCAAGUCAGUAGUGAAAUACCACGGCUCAACCGUGGCACUGCUAUUGAAACUGUGGUUCUUGAGUAAUGGAGAGGCAGGCGGAAUUCCCGGUGUAGCGGUGGAAUGCGUAGAGAUCGGGAGGAACACCGAGUGGCGAAGGCGGCCUGGCUGGACAUCAACUGACGCUGAGGAGCGAAAGCGUGGGG
rnacentral:rRNA from 1 species